rnacentral:rRNA from 1 species
AUGACGCCUGUGGUCAGCGCUGCACUCGGCGCCUUGGGUCCCCUGCUGGUGAAGCUCAGUGGUCUGCUCGCCGGCGAGUAUGGCCGCCUCAAAGGGGUCCGCCGUGAGAUUCGCUCCCUUGAAUCUGAGCUCACCACCAUGCAUGCUGCCCUCGAAGAGUACACUAAGCUGGAAGAUCCAAGUGGGCAAGUGAAGGCAUGGAUAUCUCUGGUGCGGGAGCUGGCAUAUGACACCGAGGACAUCUUCGACAAGUUCAUCCAUCACCUUGGUAAGCGUGGUCAUCGUGGUGGUUUCAAGGAGUUCUUGCGCAAGAUAACUCUCCCUCUGAAGACGCUUGGAGCUCGGUGUGAAAUUGCCGACCAAAUCGAUGACCUGAAGGAUCGCAUCAAGCAAGUGAAAGAUCUCAAGGACAGUUACAAGUUGAAUGAUGUUCCUUCUAGCACCACUGGCCAUCUGGCCCUGGAUCCCCGGCUGCAUGCUGUCUUUGCUGAGGAGGCACACCUUGUGGGCGUGGAUGGUCCAAGGGAUGAUCUUGCCAAGUGGAUGGUGGAAGAAGGAAGCAACUCAUCCAAACCUCGCAAGGUGUUGUCUAUUGUUGGUUUUGGUGGAUUGGGAAAAACAACACUGGCAAAUGAGAUCUAUCGCAAGAUUCAAGGGCAAUUUGAUUGUAAGGCUUUCGUAUCGGUCUCGCAAAAACCAGAUAUAAAGAAAAUUAUGAAGGAUGUGAUCUCUCAAGUGUCAUGCCAAGGUGGAUCCACAAAUGAUACUAGUGAUUGGGAUGAAAUUAAGUCCAUUUCAAAGCUAAGAGAACUACUGCAAAAUAAAAGGUAUCUCAUCAUCAUUGAUGAUAUAUGGUCUGCACAAGCAUGGAAAACUAUCAAGUGUGCUUUCCCAGAGAACAGUUGCUCUAGCAGAAUUAUAGUUACUACACGCAUCAUUGAUGUAGCCAAGUCAUGUUGUUUGGGAGGUGAUGACCAGAUGUAUGAACUAAAAUCCCUAAGUGAUCUCCACUCUAGAAUAUUGUUUUUCACAAGAAUAUUUGGGUCCGGGAAAAAUUGCCCUGACAUGUUGGAAGAAGUUUCAAAUAAUAUUCUAAAGAAAUGUGGAGGCCUACCAUUGGCAAUUAUAAGUAUAGCUGGUUUACUAGCAAACCGACCAGCUAUCAAGGAAGAGUGGGAGAAGGUUAAGAGGUCAAUUGGUUCUGCACUGGAGAAAACUAAGAGUCUAGAGGGCAUGAGCAGCAUACUAUCUCUGAGUUAUAAUGAUCUUGCACCUAAUCUCAAGACGUGCUUGUUGUAUCUAAGUUUAUUUCCCGAGGACCAUGUGAUUGAGAGAACAAGGCUAGUGAGGCUAUGGAUAGCAGAAGGGUUCAUCUCUGAAGAGCGUGGACAGAGCAAGCAAGAGGCUGCUGAGAAUUACUUUUAUGAGCUUAUCAACAAAAGUAUGGUCCAACCAGUGGACAUUGGCUUUGAUGGUAAGGUUCGAGCAUGUCGAGUCCAUGACAUGAUGCUUGAACUUAUUAUUUCAAAAUCAGUUGAAGGUAAUUUUACCACUGUGGUAGGUGGAGGUCAAAAUUUGGAAAAUCAGCAAGGUUAUAUUCGGCGGCUAUCGAUCCAGUACAUUGACAAGGAACUUGCAUCUGCACUGGUAAAUGUGGAUAUAAGCCAUGUUCGAACAUUGAUAGUAAUGCCAUCAUGUUGCAUCAAACAUUUGCCCGCUCUUGAUCAGUUUGAAGCUUUACGUGUUCUGGAUUUUGAAGGUUGUAAGGAUUUAAAGGACUCUGAUAUGAACGGUAUGGACAAAUUAUUCCAACUGAAGUACCUCAACUUUAGAGGCACAGAUAUAUCAAAGCUACCAUCAGGGAUAGUGAUGCUAGGUAAUCUAGAGACCCUAGUUUCUGGGUAUACAGGUGUGCAUGAGUUGCCUGCUGGAUUUGGCCGGCUAACUAAACUUCAACACCUAGAAGGACGGGGAUGGAUACUACCAGAUGGGAUUGGGGAUAUGAAGAACUUACAGUUGAUGUCAGGCUUCGUUAUUGCCUCCAGUAAAACGGAUGUGUUGGAGGAUCUCGGGAACCUAACAAGUUUGAAGGAGCUCAAGGUUGAUCUCAGGCCUGCGAACAGAAUAUUCGAUAAAGUAUCUUGCGAGGACAAGAGAUGUGAAGAGGCGUUCCUCUCCUCACUGUGCAAGCUUGGCACCUGCAAACUCCGAUCUUUGGAUAUAUCACUGAGCUGUGCUUCCCUCGACUUCUUAGAUUCUUGGUCCCCUCUGCCAUCUUCUCUUCAAAGGUUUUCCACGGAUUACAAGUAUUCGUUCACCAAGUUUCCAAAGUGGAUUACACCAGCACUCACUAACCUUGCCGACCUGUGCAUCUGCCUAACUGAAAUGACAGAAGAUGAUUUGGUUACUCUUGGGCAGGUCCCAUCCUUACUUCGCCUGUUCCUAUGGCCAUCAAAUAAGUUGGUUGCCACAGUACAACGCAAUUCUUUCCUGAAUCUGAAGGUUUUGGACUUCGGAUUUAAAACUGAACGAGCAUAUGUUACGUUUGUGAAAGGGUCUGCGCCCAAGCUUGAGGAACUUACCAUCACAUUCAGUGUGUCGGCAGCGAAAGCUAAUGGCUUCUAUUCAGGCAUUGAGCAUCUCUCAUCUCUCAAAGAAGCUAAGAUAUAUCUUGAUGAUGAAGAUGCGACACCUUCAGAAUGCAAGGCUGCAGCUGCUGAGAUCAGGAAGGAAGCGGGUGCCAAUCCCAACCAUCUUGCACUUACUUUUGAGGGGGAAUCAGAUUCAGAAGGAGAGGACAAUGAAGAGACCAGUGGUAGUGAUGAGGAGGGAGGCAGUGACACUGAUGAGGACAAUGAAGAGACCAGUGGUAGUGACGAGAAGAGCAAGGGAGAAGGUGACACUGAUGAGUCCUAA